UUAAUGGAGAGUUUGAUCCUGGCUCAGGACGAACGCUGGCGGCGUGCCUAAUACAUGCAAGUCGAGCGGAUCUUUGAAGGUGCUUGCACCUUUAAAGAUUAGCGGCGGACGGGUGAGUAACAC
rnacentral:rRNA from 1 species